UGGGGAAUAUUGCACAAUGGGCGCAAGCCUGAUGCAGCCAUGCCGCGUGUGUGAAGAAGGCCUUCGGGUUGUAAAGCACUUUCAGCGGGGAGGAAGGCGAUAAGGUUAAUAACCUUGGCAAUUGACGUUACCGACAGAAGAAGCACCGGCUAACUCCGUGCCAGCAGCCGCGGUAAUACGGAGGGUGCAAGCGUUAAUCGGAAUUACUGGGCGUAAAGCGCACGCAGGCGGUUUGUUAAGUCAGAUGUGAAAUCCCCGGGCUCAACCUGGGAACUGCAUCUGAUACUGGCAAGCUUGAGUCUCGUAGAGGGGGGUAGAAUUCCAGGUGUAGCGGUGAAAUGCGUAGAGAUCUGGAGGAAUACCGGUGGCGAAGGCGGCCCCCUGGACGAAGACUGACGCUCAGGUGCGAAAGCGUGGGGAGCAAACAGG
rnacentral:rRNA from 1 species